rnacentral:rRNA from 1 species
AUACGUAGGGGGCGAGCGUUGUCCGGAAUGAUUGGGCGUAAAGGGCGCGUAGGCGGCCCGGUAAGUCUGGAGUGAAAGUCCUGUUUUUAAGAUGGGAAUUGCUUUGGAUACUGUCGGGCUUGAGUGCAGGAGAGGUAAGUGGAAUUCCCAGUGUAGCGGUGAAAUGCGUAGAGAUUGGGAGGGACACCAGUGGCGAAGGCGACUUACUGGACUGUAACUGACGCUGAGGCGCGAAAGUGUGGGGAGCAAACAGGAUUAGAUACCCUGGUAGUCCACACUGUAAACGAUGGAUGCUAGGUGUAGGGGGUAUCGACCCCUUCUGUGCCGCAGUCAACACAAUAAGCAUUCCGCCUGGGGAGUACGGCCGCAAGGUUGAAACUCAAAGGAAUUGACGGGG